CUGAACAGCCCGCAAGGGUUGUUGAUCGCCGUGCAGGAGUCAGCAGAAGGCAUAGUAGGGCGGUGGUUAUGCCUGAAGGCC
rnacentral:ncRNA from 1 species